rnacentral:rRNA from 1 species
AGUGAACGCUGGCGGCAGGCCUAACACAUGCAAGUCGAACGGCAGCACAGUAAGAGCUUGCUCUUACGGGUGGCGAGUGGCGGACGGGUGAGGAAUACAUCGGAAUCUACUUUUUCGUGGGGGAUAACGUAGGGACACUUACGCUAAUACCGCAUAUGACCUACGGGUGAAAGCAGGGGAUCUUCGGACCUUGCGCGAUUGAAUGAGCCGAUGUCGGAUUAGCUAGUUGGCGGGGUAAAGGCCCACCAAGGCGACGAUCCGUAGCUGGUCUGAGAGGAUGAUCAGCCACACUGGAACUGAGACACGGUCCAGACUCCUACGGGAGGCAGCAGUGGGGAAUAUUGGACAAUGGGCGCAAGCCUGAUCCAGCCAUACCGCGUGGGUGAAGAAGGCCUUCGGGUUGUAAAGCCCUUUUGUUGGGAAAGAAAAGCAGCAGGUUAAUACCCCGCUGUUCUGACGGUACCCAAAGAAUAAGCACCGGCUAACUUCGUG